GAGGAUAGAGCUCAGUGGUAGAGAGCAUGCUUAGCAUGCACAAGGUCCUAGGUUCAAUCCCUAGUAUCUCCA
rnacentral:tRNA from 1 species